CCAUCCCUAAGAGGUGUGCAGAUGUGGCUGCUGUGUCACAUGUGUGUCAGUAGGUGGCAGAGAAGAGAGGAUGCUCAGUGUUCUGUUCUGACCUGUGACCAUCUGAAUGAUCAGUAGCCCACCAGU